CCUACGGGUGGCAGCAGUAGGGAAUCUUCCACAAUGGGCGAAAGUCUGAUGCAGCAACGCCGCGUGGGUGAAGACGGUCUUCGGAUCGUAAAACCCUGUUGUUAGAGAAGAAAGUGCGGGAGAGUAACUGUUCACGUUUCGAUGGUAUCUAACCAGAAGGCGACGGCUUACGACGUGCCAGCAGCCGCGGUAAUACGUAGGUGGCAAGCGUUAGCCGGAUUUAGUGGGCGUAAAGGGGACGCAGGGCGGCUGUUAAUUCUGAUGGGAAAGUCUUCGGUUUAACCGGGGUAGUGCAUUGGAAACUUGGUGACUUGAGUGCAGAAGAGGAGAGUGGAACUCCAUGUGUAGCGGUGAAAUGCGUAGAUAUAAGGAAGAACACCAGUGGCGAAGGCGGCUCUCUGGUCUGUAACUGACGCUGAGGUUCGAAAGCGUGGGUAGUAAACAGGAUUAGAUACCCGGGUAGUC
rnacentral:rRNA from 1 species